CCUACGGGAGGCAGCAGUGGGGAAUAUUGGACAAUGGGCGAAAGCCUGAUCCAGCCAUGCCGCGUGUGUGAAGAAGGCCUUCGGGUUGUAAAGCACUUUCAGUGGGGAAGAAAGCCUUGGGGCUAAUACCCUCGAGGAAGGACAUCACCCACAGAAGAAGCACCGGCUAACUCCGUGCCAGCAGCCGCGGUAAUACGGAGGGUGCGAGCGUUAAUCGGAAUUACUGGGCGUAAAGCGCGCGUAGGCGGUCUGAUAAGCCGGUUGUGAAAGCCCCGGGCUCAACCUGGGAACGGCAUCCGGAACUGUCAGGCUAGGGUGCAGGAGAGGAAGGUAGAAUUCCCGGUGUAGCGGUGAAAUGCGUAGAGAUCGGGAGGAAUACCAGUGGCGAAGGCGGCCUUCUGGACUGACACUGACGCUGAGGUGCGAAAGCGUGGGUAGCAAACAGGAUUAGAUACCCGGGUAGUC
rnacentral:rRNA from 1 species